UGUCCACCGAGGGAAAUUGAACCCCUGAGUUUAGCAUUGUAAAUCUGAAGACUUACUGCUGUCCCAGCGGGGGACUCUAGUGAUGAAAGAGAAUAUGAGAUGAUAACAACCAGUUUAUGUUGUGUAUCUUGCCUUUCAACGAACAACUGGUAAGAAUCCGCUUAAUUAGUAAGUUGGAUGCUUGUGAAAUUAGUGAAAAGCAAAGUCUAAUGACAAAUAGAUAUUUUUUUCCAUCAGGAGCAUGUGAAUUAUUGGAUUCAUUCUAGAAUAUAUUCUGUUACACUGAAGACUGACAGAUGUGAAAUGAAGUAUACAUUUAACAUAAGUUACAGCAAUGUUAUGCAGAGUUACAAUAACAUGGAUAUUAAACGCAAACGCAAACACAAAUGAACAAUCAAAGCAAAUCUUUCUUCACAGUGGUGUAAUGUAUUUCACUACUGACCUGCUUUUAUGUUGUUUUGGAGUCAAACUGGUUGCUCUGGACAGGAUCAAGACACAUCUACUCAGGACAAGGCCAGAAGAAAGAACAAUGUAAUACUGUCCUUUCAAGCCAGUGUCCUAGUGCAGUAUACUACAAACCUUAAAUUACUUACAUCAGCACCUAUUUCACAGGGAAAGAGUCCCAAACCUGCACCAACUUGUACAAGUGUUCAUUUUGCCAGUAAAGAUGGGUUUGUCCCACUCCAGAGAGAAGACACAGAGUCAAACUGUUACAAGCAUCUAUGAGACAGCCUUUGUGUUCUGUUGCAUUACAACUCCCAAAAGAAGUAAGGGGUUUACACAGCAUGCUGAUACUUUGGGGUUC